rnacentral:lncRNA from 1 species
AACAGUUAAUUCAACAGUACAAGAAUUAUAUGUAUGUUUGCUCAAAAUGCGCAUGAAAUACUUGCAACUGGACAAUAAUCAGUUUCAGUCAAAAGUCAAUUCUUAUGUUACAGAUAGCAACUGGCAUUGAACAAACUACAAAUGACCACUUCUUCAACUGUUUCCCCCAUCAUCAAAUUGCAGUAAACGUUAUUGAUUUUGAACGGCCAUGCAUGUAUUAGCGCUAAAAGAUGUGAGACGUUCUGGCGUGUAAUAGUGGACACGUUUUGGCGAAUAACAAUUAGCGGACACGUUUGGGGACUAUGAAAUUGGACACGUUUGGGGAAUAUUGAAUACUACGGACACGU